UACGGGGGGGGCAAGCGUUGUCCGGAAUUACUGGGCGUAAAGGGCUCGUAGGCGGCCAAUUAAGUCAGACGUGAAAUCCCUCGGCUUAACCGGGGAACUGCGUCUGAUACUGGAUGGCUUGAGUUCGGGAGAGGGAUGUGGAAUUCCAGGUGUAGCGGUGAAAUGCGUAGAUAUCUGGAGGAACACCGGUGGCGAAGGCGGCAUCCUGGACCGACACUGACGCUGAUGAGCGAAAGCCAGGGGAGCAAACGGG
rnacentral:rRNA from 1 species